GGGGUAAAAUUCUUCCUCGCCGCCGGACAACUGGUCCCACCUGUGCGCCGCACGACGCCGCAUGCCGCUCGCGUCAUACAGGUACUCUUCUCUGAUUUCAUCCUGAUCGGGACGCCGCGCCGCCGCUGCACUUCCGGUCUGCCGAGGCUCCGGCCGACUGCCUGCAGUUUCCCAUCACGCUUCAGUAGGUUUUCUCCAGAAGGAUCAGCUGUAUAGAGGAGAGACGAGGGGCGUCCAAAGGCGCGAGAAAAGGAAAGGGCAGGACGGAGAGUCGCUCUGGCGUGGAGGGAAUCAACGCGGCAGUCCUGGUCCCCACUGGGGUCACCGUAGGUACAUUUUGGUUUCUGCCGAACUGUGCACGCCGUACCGUGUGCACACAUGAGAGUGUAUGCUCUCGAAACACUAUGACUAUACUUUCCUGGAUGCGAAUGGUUAUCCCGAGAAGAUUCCAACAGACGACGCAGUACAGCUGCACCUGCGCGUAUGUAUAGUCAUGCCCCGGUUAUACCCAGGGCGAAGGUACCUAUGGAGGAGUCGUGUCGCAGUGUGCGGGAAGCCAUUCGGGGCGCAGUACUGUAUACGAGGGGGCGUGCCGGUGGGCGCGCGAGCUCGAGAUAGCAGCGCUAACCAUUAUCCACCCCGUCAAGACUGCCUCACCCCGCCCAGCUCGCCCAGCUUCUGCCGGGGCGGGCCGAGCGGCCUGAGCAGCCCAAGUAGCCGCACUCGCUGUAAUGAGAGGGAACAGUAGUCAUUAUGCUGGAGUCAUACACUAGCAGGACGGGGGACCGGAGUAUGCGGGGGAGUCAAACGGGUGCCGUCCUUGUUAGCCCGGUGUGAAAACUCGUGUGUCGCUCUAUGCAUAUGAUGUAUUUCGCUCCCUCUCUUCGACUCAAGCCGGAGUUUCUCGCAAAUCGACUUGUCCCACGGCCCAACUGAGAGUGUCCGCCGAAAUAGGCGGGGGGCGAGCGGGGAACUUCGCUUGACACUGGCUGUUUGUCUACAGCACCCGCACUCACUAGCACUGUAAACUGGUUGUCGUUCCUCUUCUCAGAACGCCAAAUGUUGGCGUUCUUCAGGGAACGCCAAUAAUUUUGGCGUCGUGAAACGCCAAACCAAGUGCGGUCUUCGGUGGACCGGACCAGGCUUCAAGUUGGGUAAAACGGGGUUCUACUUAUUGGUAAAGGAAUCGCAAAAGUAAAGUACUUGUUUUUUUAUCUGGCGGCCGUGUUUGUCCCUGUCAUUCCUAAACGCCUGAAGAAGGCCCGGGGGUGGGAGGAGGCACGCGCUCCGGGUGUCGGUGGAGAGGACACGGCCUGGGCACGGCCUGGGCACGGCCUGGGCGCAGCACUGUCGCUGCUGCUGCCCGGUGCAGACGGCACGUGAGUCGCGUUGACGAUGCGGCGGUGCGGCGGCCGUCUCUCCCGGGCCUUCCUGUCAUUCUGUCGUGGCAGGGGCCGGACUCUCGCAGAGAAGAGGCACUGGACAUGGCCGUAGGGAAUCAGAACGCCGCCUCUGUUCAACCAAGCGAAGCAUAGUCAUUCGACACACCACCGGAAGUGGCGCUUGAGCUCAAAGGGAAAAAGGAGGGCGCGAAGCAGUGACACAAAAAAUGUCGCUCUCCUGACAGCAAGAUUAUUUUCCUCAUUCAAUUUGAGUCAACCUACGGUCCUCACCCAAUAAGAACGAGAUUCCUCUCGGCAAUUGGGCAACAUCAGAGAAAUCUCACUCCUUUAGAAUGAGGAUUCGGUGCAU